rnacentral:misc_RNA from 1 species
GAUGAAGAACGCAGCGAAAUGCGAUACGUAAUGUGAAUUUCAGAAUUCAGUGAAUCAUCGAGUCUUUGAACGCACAUUGCGCCCCCUGGUAUUCCGGGGGGCAUGCCUGUCCGAGCGUCAUUGCCGCCCUCAAGCCCGGCUUGUGUGUUGGGUCUCGUCCCCCUUCCCGGGGGGACGGGCCCGAAAGGCAGCGGCGGCACCGCGUCCGGUCCUCGAGCGUAUGGGGCUUUGUCACCCGCUCUGUAGGCCCGGCCGGCGCUUGCCGAUCAACCAAAACUUUUUUCCAGGUUGACCUCGGAUCAGGUAGGGAUACCCGCUGAACUUAAGCAUAUCAAUAAGCGGAGGA